rnacentral:pre_miRNA from 1 species
UUAAUACUCCCUCCGUUCGGAAUUACUUGUCGUAGAAAUGGAUGUAUCUAGAUGUAUUUUAGUUCUAGAUACAUCCAUUUCCGAGACAAGUAAUUCCGAACGGAGGGAGUAUUAU